ACCGCGACUGCUUUACUUGCAAAGAAACAAAAAACGGUGACUUCCAUGUUCCAAAAGUCCACUUAUCUGACAGAGGUGUUUGUUUGCGCAAAUAUCCCUUUUGAAAAAUUUGACAACCAAAAUAUACGGAAAUUCUUCAGACUGAGUGUAGCAAAUGGUGGAGUGAUUCCUUCAUCAGAGCCCAGCUGAGACGUGAAUACUUAUCUAAAGUUGCCGAGUAUCACAAGCAGGAGAUUAUGGAAUUGAUAAAACAGUCUCGUUGCUUGUCAGUGGCCACACUGACGAGUCGACUGAUGCACAAGAUCAGUAUGGGUUACACAUUGUAAGUGUUGCAAGACUAAAUGGUGAACAUGCACCUGACGUACUAGAAGUGAAAGUUGCCCUGCCCACAGGCUGUUAAUUACAACACCGUUUCACAAGCUAUUGUAAAGUGAUUGAAUAACUUUUAUGUUAAUUUUGAUGUCAGUGCAUUUAUCUGUAUAUUUGCUGUUCAAAAAAAAAAAAAAAAAAUCUGUAUACGUAAUUUAUAACAUAUUUCCGUGCACAUUCCGCAAAAUACGAUACUUUACCCGUGACACUGCCUUGAAUUAUCGCGAUUUUCACAGGGCCACAGUUAUUAUACACAGGUAAACCGUUCAUGGUAAUGUGUUAGGGUCCUUGAUAUCUGACCUAAUAUGGAUUCCAUAUUGAGGUCAUGUGACUUUUCAGUUGUCAUCUUACUAUUUGGUACACCGGUGUAUUUUCUCAAUUUAUUUCUAUUACCAGUGUUGUCCAGUAAACCACCCACUGUCUUUACAGUUGAUACACAUAAUUAUUUCAGACAAGUUCAGUUGCCAGUGUUCUACAGUAAAAACACAUGUUUACAUUGUUUUAACCACUGAUGCAGAUCUUUUUCACAUACACAUUGUAGUUCAUGUUUACUAACAGUGCCACUGGAAAUGUAAUUCCCAGGGAUGCUUUGUUUUUGUUCUCAAUCAUUUUGAUGUUUUAUUUUACAGAUAUAACCCAGCUAUCAAAAUCCAAGAUAGCAUAUGUGAUCAUCCUGAUGUUUCAGGGAAAAAUUUCUAUAAAUAUUUUAAGCGCCCCUUGAUUCCGUUCUCCCAACAUAUCCCACCAGAAGUUGUUCUUGGAAUACCCAAAGCAGAUCCCUUUGCACCUCCUGAUGGCAGGAGACCUGCAACCCUACUAGUGCGUACAGUAGCUGUACAAACAGAUUACAGAGAAAGCGAGGCCCAGACUGAUCCCUGCACCCUAGAGUCAAGGUCUACCAUCUGGUGUGGCAGAAGUGGAGAUGAUAGAGCGGGCAAGAGUGAAGCAUGCCUGGGAAGCAACCCUGCCACCGCUAAAUGAUCUCCCAUAACUAGACAAAAGGAGAAGAAUGAUGGAUGAGAUGGAAAGACAGGAGUGGGCAAUCCGAGAAGCAGAAACAGAGAGGUUGCAGGAGGCCCAUCUGGAGGUGCUGAAGAAACUCCUCAAGCAGCGUGAAGAUAAGCAACAGGAAGCAAGAUCGUAACUCUGAGCGAUGUGUUGUGAAAAGCCGAAUCCAUAGUACUUUUGAAGGCUCUGAAAGAUGAGAAGACAAAAGGUGAAGAGAAGCAUCCAUUGCGGUUCCUGCAGAAGAUAGAAAAGCCAAUUCCACACCCCGCCACUCCUACUGUUCGAGCACCACCUGAGGGAGAGGAGGAGAAAGAACUUGCAGUAAUUUACUUGCAGAAACUCUUAAGAGGACGAGCCAUUCAAAAUAUGGUGUCUGGUGGUAGAAGAAACCUAUUGGGGCCUAUGGUAGGCUACAUAAUGGCUUAAAAAAAAAGAAAAAUGGUAUGUGACCUGAAAGUUAGCAGCAAAAUAUAUAUCCUUAAAAAAUAGUACCUCACAACAAGGAAAUAAUCCAUUAAAGAAAUGUAAGUACAAAUUACCCAUAUAUAAGAAACCACAGUCAUUAACUCCACAACAGCCAAUUACCGGAUUCUGCCGAGUCAACACCCCGGUUUGAAAGAUCACCCCACCCCAACUUUUAGCUGAAAGUCACAUUUUCACCAUUCAUUUCCAUUUUUUAGUAACCAUGAGCAAAUAAUGCCUGAGGGGAAAUAUCGCAGCUCACGUGAAUAGAAAAAACUGCCUAGAAGUAGUUGCUCUGUGCAUUGAAUGAUUCAGGGUGAGGGUUAUGGUUAUCUUCGGUUCAGAUAACGAAGACGUGGAGUUCAGCGGUUUCGGAUCAGAUGAUACAGACUCUGCAGUCUGAUUGAUUACAUUUUCCUGGUGCAAUCCAUAUUUUAGAUUUUCUUUCUUUUUUCUUUGUAUUCUUUUUUUUUUAGACAGUGCAAGAGCUUGUAACUCAGGAACCAUUUUUUGUAUUGUUCAUUUUAAUUCUAUAGUGCUACUUUGGGAUUUAUGAUUUUAUGUUGUGUUUUCACACUAGACACUGCAACUUGUAGAAGUUAUGUAAAGCCCUUUAUUUCACAUGUUUAUAUGUUUUUUAAAUGUAGCGACUUUUAUUUUGGCGUUUUUCACAUACAAAUGUGGGUUUUCAUGAUGUGGUUUUGCACUAGACACUGCAGAUUCCUUCUUCAAUUUCACUAUCUCCCAUAUGAUAUUUAUAAUAAACAUUUUUAUUGCCUGCAUACAGUACCUUACACUUUUCUCUAUUAAAUGUCAUUUGCCAUGUGUCUGCCCAGUUCUGAAUGCUGUCUGAAUCAUUUUGAAUGACCUUUGCUGCUGCAACAGUGUUUGCCACUCCUAUUUUUGUGUCAUCUGCAAAUUUAACAAGUUUGCUUACUAUACCAGAAUCUAAAUCAUUACUGUGGAUUAGGAAUAGCAAAGGACCUAAUACUGAUCCCUGUGGUACACCACUGGUUACCUCGCUCCAUUUUGAGGUUUCUCCUCUAAUCAGUUCUUUCUGUUUUCUACAUGUUAACCACUUCCUAAUCCACGUGCAUGCAUUUCCUUGAAUCCCUACUUCGUUUUAUUAUUUUAGUCUUCAAACUCACUAUUUCUUUCUGUUGUAAUUGCAGGAAGGAUUGUCUUAAACACCGUACAUAAAAGUGUGACAGAACCCCCUGCAGUGUUUACAAGAAACACGUCACAGUACUUUACUUUUGCUAUAUCCCGUUUUGUCCAUAUUGCAGCAAUUAUCUUUUCAAUAUAUUCCAGAGUCUUGAUAUUUUUUUUUAUUCACACAUCAUAGGUAAAUAAACUAGGGAAUUGCUUUUUUUUCUACUUUUACUCUGGAACGUUUUUUUAGGAGAAUGUUUUAUUUUUUUUUCCAAACAUUGCAGUGUUACCCAAUUUGUACUCGUUGGUGCUCUGGUUGAAAUGAGUGGCGUAUUGUGGGAACAGAAAACCAGCAUUGUUGCAGGAGGGAGUAUGAUCUGGAUACACUGCAAUCCUAAGUAAAUGUUGAGAAACGCCUUGCCCAGUUGACUCAUGAUGUAUGAUUCAACAUUUAAAAAGAGUUGGCAGUAUGUUUAAAAAUAUAAGACUGCGAUACAGACAACACAGGACACAGCAAAGUUAACGUAAUGUGUUAUUGUAAACUUUGCAAGGUGUUCUGUAACACUUUAAUCAAGUUUGCCUUUUCUUUUUCAGAUCAUCUUGGUGGAUGAUAGCUCAUCAUGUAGAAAAGAAAAUCUACUCACUUCAAAACAGAAAGUGCAUCUUGCUUCCCUGGCAGCCUGUCUCAAAGUAAAUACCCAGGAAAUCUGUUUAAUGUCAUAAAUAAAGCAAUACAUUUGAUUAUUUGCCA